rnacentral:rRNA from 1 species
AGUUUGAUCAUGGCUCAGGAUGAACGCUAGCGGCAGGCCUAAUACAUGCAAGUCGAACGGUAAGUAUGAUAGCAAUAUUAUACGAGAGUGACGUACGGGUGCGUAACACGUAUGCAACCUACCCUUUACAGGCGGAUAGCUCGGGGAAACUCGAAUUAACCCGUCAUAAUAUAAUUGGAUGGCAUCAUUUGAUUAUUAAAACUCCGGUGGUAAAGGAUGGGCAUGCGUCUGAUUAGUUAGUUGGCGGGGUAACGGCCCACCAAGACGAUGAUCAGUAGGGGAACUGAGAGGUUGAUCCCCCACACUGGCACUGAGAUACGGGCCAGACUCCUACGGGAGGCAGCAGUAGGGAAUAUUGGUCAAUGGAUGGAAGUCUGAACCAGCCAUGCCGCGUGCAGGAAGAAGGCCUUCUGGGUUGUAAACUGCUUUUGUCAGGGGAUAAAAAUUCCUUGCGAGGAAGAUUGAAGGUACCUGGCGAAUAAGCCACGGCUAACUACGUGCCAGCAGCCGCGGUAAUACGUAGGUGGCAAGCGUUGUCCGGAUUUAUUGGGUUUAAAGGGUGCGUAGGCGGCUUUGUAAGUCAGUGGUGAAAUAUCGCAGCUUAACUGUGAGGGUGCCAUUGAUACUGCGGAGCUUGAGUACAGAUGAGGUAGGCGGAAUUGACGGUGUAGCGGUGAAAUGCUCAGAUAUCGUCAAGAACACCUAUAGCGAAGGCAGCUUACUAGGCUGUAACUGACGCUGAGGCACGAA